rnacentral:tRNA from 1 species
CAGGGACUAGCUCAAUUGGUAGAGUGCACGCUUCGGGUGCGUGAGGUUGCGGGUCCGACUCCCGCGUCUCUGA